rnacentral:misc_RNA from 1 species
UGAUGAUCAUCUUCAGGUAACCUGGACAACCACCUGCUGACACACACUGCGGCACGCCCCUUCAACUGCGACCUCUGCGGCAAGGCGUUCAAGACUCUGGUACGUCUGCGCAAACACGUCUCCGUCCACUCAGGCCUGAAGCCCCACAAGUGCGACACGUGCGGCAGGCAGUUCCGAGAGAGGGGCACGCUCAAAGAGCACCACCGCAUCCACACGGGGGCCAUGCCGUUCGCGUGCGAGUUCUGCGGCAAGUGCUUCCGCUUCAAGGGGGUGCUUACCACGCAUCGCAGGCAACACACAGGGGAGCGUCCGUAUUCGUGCAACGAAUGCCAACACCACUUCACGAACUGGCCGAACUACAACAAGCACAUGAAGCGUCGGCACGGCAUCAACACGAGCGUCACUUGCCGGACGAGGCAGGACAUCCCGCCGACCGGUAUGCCCCACCGUAACCCUCCGGGUACUGUUCUGGCCGCCCCGCAACCCGUCGUCGUGCCCGAGAACUUCGUCGAGCCCCCGCCGACCUUCUACCCCGUACUGAAUCUCUACAAUAUUCCCGAAGAGCUGCUCCAGCAAAGGGUGGGAGUUUGAAUGAAAGGUUUCCACAAUUUCGCUAGACGUGAAGGAUUUUUGUCAGUGUGGUUGACUGGGAGUUCUGUCUUUCUGUUGCCGCUUUGAGUUCGAAAUUUAUUGAUUUCAUUCACGGAAUUACGUUGAUUCGACACCCAACAGUGAUAAAGGUUGGAAGUAGGUGAUAAACUGGUGGCGCUAGCUACGAAGCAAACUUAAGGAAAACUUGGAAGUGAACGCCUCAAGAUGGCGCUAACGGCGAAGCAAACUAAAGGAAAACUGAGAAAUGAUUGUUACAAGGUGGCGCUAGCGGUGAGACAAACUAAAGGAAAACUUGGAAAUGAUUGUCGUAAGGUGGCGCCAGCUACGAAGCAAACUUGGAAGUGAACGCCUCAAGAUGGCGCCAGCGGCGAAGCAAACUAAAGGAAAAAUAGAAAAUGAUUGUCGCAAGGUGGCGCUAGCUACGCAGCAAACUAAAGGAAAACUUGGAAGUGAACGCCUCAAGAUGGCGCUAUCGGCGAAGCAAACUAAAGGAAAAAUAGGAAAUGUUUGUCGCAAGGUGGCGCUAGCUACGAAGCAAACUAAAGGAAAACUUGGAAGUGAUCGCCACGUGGUGGCGCUAGCGGCAAUGCAAACUAAAGGAAAACUGAGAAAUGAUGAUCACAAGGUGGCGCUAGCAGUGAGGCAAACUAAAGGAAAACUUGGAAGUGAUUGUCACGAGGUGGCGCUAGCGACGAAGCAAACUAAAGGAAAAAUAGGAAAUGAUUGUCGCAAGGUGGAGCUAGCGACGAAGGAAACUUGGAAAUGAACGCCACAAGGUAGCGCUAACGGCGAAGCAAACUAAAGGAAAAUUAGGAAAUGAUUGUCACGAGGUGGCGGUAGCAGUGAAGCAAACUAAAGGAAAUCUGGAAAAUGAUUGCCAUAAGGUGGCGCUAGCGGUGAAUCAUACUGAAGGAAAACAUGGAAAUGAUUAUCACGAGGUAUCAAGGGCUUUGACUUUGAACUAUACGUAGAAUGGCCCAAUUGGCUUGUUUUAUCAUCCUUCAAAGGCAAUAGUUGUAGUGUCAGCGCAACAAGUUUGAGUGUCUACUAAUAAUAUGUUUUUACUGCAAUAACGGUUUUUGAUUUUAUAAUACCUGACGCCAGCAAAAGAACAUACCUAUUAUUUAAAGGUAAAAGUGAAAACUCUGGCGUAGAAUAAAUCUAAAAACAAGCACCUUUCCCUAUCGCCAAAACUGCAAUACUCUUUUUGACGUUUUAUUAACCUAGUUGGCGUCUCCAAGACUUUCGAAAGCAUCCAAAAAUAUAGUGUCAUGUGCCGAUGUCAACAAUUUCAAACACUUAUCAUUCAUUGUAUGGCCGUUCUCCUAAAUUUUUCUGGUCUUCAAAAUUGGAUAUGAGCUGCGUGAAACGAGUUUCAAUGGCAACAUCUUGUCUUUAAAGUAAUCUAAGAUUUGUUGAAGUGGCAAGAAGUUUUGAAGGCCACUUACACUUUCCACAUUUUAAAAAUAAGAUCAAAUCUAUGUAUCUUGGUUUAUAUGGAUGGACAAUACACUUUGAAUGGACAUCUUUUUGAAAAGUCGAAAAUUUACGAAGAUUCUUGCUUUUAAUGAUGAUUUUGCUGUGAAAAUAUUAUGAAUGAGGAUUCAAAACGAACCUUUAAACUUGCAACCAUGAAUUUGGUGAAUAUUUUAAAUUUCAUCAGUAUAAAAAGGUCAAGCGAUGGGUAGACUUCAUGUUAAAGAACAGGUAUGUAUUCAAAUAACACUUGAUUUUCACUCAACAAUUUACAAAAUCGCAACAACUGUUUCACUAGACAAUACCUUUCUCAGGCUCAUUCAUAUUGGUAUUAAGCUAUUACUGGUGUAUAAUGAAACACGUGUUGAGUAUCAGUCGUAGCAAAGGAAACUGUACAUUCUAUGGUUUUAUUUCAUGUUAUUGAGUCAUUUACAUUUUUCACAGAAUUUUAUCGGACAUUUACAAAAACAUGAUUUAUUUAAUAUUUUAUGCUCAUUUCUAAUUUUUGGAAAACUCUUGUGUGCAGCUAUAUUGCUAUAGGACAUAAUUAUAUGUAUCAUAAUGAUAUUUUGUGUAGAUAAUAAAAAAAUAUUGAGUUUUU